rnacentral:rRNA from 1 species
CCUACGGGAGGCAGCAGUGGGGGAUAUUGCACAAUGGGCGCAAGCCUGAUGCAGCGACGCCGCGUGAGCGAAGAAGUAUUUCGGUAUGUAAAGCUCUAUCAGCAGGGAAGAAAAUGACGGUACCUGACUAAGAAGCUCCGGCUAAAUACGUGCCAGCAGCCGCGGUAAUACGUAUGGAGCAAGCGUUAAUCGGAAUUACUGGGCGUAAAGCGCUCGUAGGCGGUAUGUCAAGUCAAGGGUGAAAUCCCCGCGCUCAACGUGGGAACUGCCUUUGAAACUGGCAAACUGGAGUGUGUGAGAGGAUAGUGGAAUUCCAGGUGUAGGAGUGAAAUCCGUAGAUAUCUGGAGGAACAUCAGUGGCGAAGGCGACUAUCUGGCACAUAACUGACGCUGAGGAGCGAAAGCGUGGGUAGCAAACAGGAUUAGAUACCCGAGUAGUC